UGAGGAACAGUGUCUUUUCCNCUACAAGC
rnacentral:piRNA from 1 species